rnacentral:rRNA from 1 species
UACGUAGGGUGCAAGCGUUGUCCGGAAUUAUUGGGCGUAAAGAGCUUGUAGGCGGUUUGUCGCGUCUGCUGUGAAAUUUCGGGGCUCAACCCCGAACUUGCAGUGGGUACGGGCAGACUAGAGUGUGGUAGGGGAGACUGGAAUUCCUGGUGUAGCGGUGAAAUGCGCAGAUAUCAGGAGGAACACCGGUGGCGAAGGCGGGUCUCUGGGCCGUAACUGACGCUGAGGAGCGAAAGCAUGGGGAGCGA